rnacentral:rRNA from 1 species
AUACGUAGGGGGCGAGCGUUGUCCGGAAUGAUUGGGCGUACAGGGCGCGUAGGCGGCCCGGUAAGUCUGGAGUGAAAGUCCUGUUUUUAAGAUGGGAAUUGCUUUGGAUACUGUCGGGCUUGAGUGCAGGAGAGGUAAGCGGAAUUCCCAGUGUAGCGGUGAAAUGCGUAGAGAUUGGGAGGAACACCAGUGGCGAAGGCGACUUACUGGACUGUAACUGACGCUGAGGCGCGAAAGUGUGGGGAGCAAACAGGAUUAGAUACCCUGGUAGUCCACACUGUAAACGAUGAAUGCUAGGUGUAGGGGGUAUCGACCCCUUCUGUGCCGCAGUCAACACAAUAAGCAUUCCGCCUGGGGAGUACGGCCGCAAGGUUGAAACUCAAAGGAAUUGACGGGG